AGGGAAAGGUGAAAAGCACCCCGGAAGGGGAGUGAAACAGUUCCUGAAACCGUGUGCCUACAAGUAGUUAGAGCCCGUUAAUGGGUGAUAGCGUGCCUUUUGUAGAAUGAACCGGCGAGUUACGAUUUGUUGCAAGGUUAAGCGGAAAAAGCGGAGCCGUAGCGAAAGCGAGUCUGAAUAGGGCGCAUAAGUAACAGGUCGUAGACCCGAAACCAGGUGAUCUACCCAUGUCCAGGAUGAAGGUAAGGUAAUACUUACUGGAGGUCCGAACCCACGCACGUUGAAAAGUGCGGGGAUGAGGUGUGGGUAGCGGAGAAAUUCCAAUCGAACUUGGAGAUAGCUGGUUCUCUCCGAAAUAGCUUUAGGGCUAGCCUCGAGGUAAAGAGUCAUGGAGGUAGAGCACUGUUUGGACUAGGGGCCCUUCUCGGGUUACCGAAUUCAGAUAAACUCCGAAUGCCAUGUACUUAUACUCGGGAGUCAGACUGCGAGUGAUAAGAUCCGUAGUCGAAAGGGAAACAGCCCAGACCACCAGUUAAGGUCCCCAAAUAUAUGUUAAGUGGAAAAGGAUGUGGGGUUGCUUAGACAACCAGGAUGUUGGCUUAGAAGCAGCCACCAUUGAAAGAGUGCGUAAUAGCUCACUGGUCGAGUGACCCCGCGCCGAAAAUGUACCGGGGCUAAACAUAUUACCGAAACUGUGGAUGAACCUCUUUAGAGGUUCGUGGUAGGAGAGCGUUCUAAGGGCGGUGAAGUCAGACCGGAAGGACUGGUGGAGCGCUUAGAAGUGAGAAUGCCGGUAUGAGUAGCGAAAGAAGGGUGAGAAUCCCUUCCACCGAAUAUCUAAGGU
rnacentral:rRNA from 1 species